ensembl:lncRNA
CUAAAUUGGAAGAGUGGACUGCCUUCUCAGUUGCUGUUGUGAACUCCUCCUUGGUGGAGUCUGCUGUCUUGUCUUGUUUUGUCUUAUCUUGUUUUUAUUAAGUAGGCUUACCCUUUUCUUUGGGUUCGCCUGGUGUUCUAUUUUACCCUGGACUGUUGCUCGUACCCACACUUCUGUGAUCGGGCUGAAGUGAUUCUCUGCCCGAGUGUCGUGCUGGGACUCUAAAUCGCCUGGGUGGCCGGUCUCAGCCGGUGGGGAGCCAGACCGGCCUACGCCUGAGAAUAACUAUUACCAGCACGAGUGUGAAGGAGGACGAGCCAGUGGCCCUGGGACCUCAGGUGGUGGGUCGUUUUCACACUUUCUUUUGUACAGCACUGGGUGGUCUGCAGUGAUUCUUUUGGUGUGAUUUUCUUUUGGUUCCACGGCUGCUGCUGCUCCCUCCAGGGGUGCACAGAGCGGGUCAUCUGCCCAGAUCUCAACCUAUCGCUGUCACACCAACACUCUCGACUGCAUCCAUGAACUUCCUGUGGUUUCCAUCUUUUCCUCCUGCACUGCAGCUCCAUCCACAGUAUCCUUUGUCCAAAAUAUUCAUGAUCCGUCCUCUACACGUCCAAACCAGCUGAGUCUCCCCUUUCUUUGUUUUUAAUACAGCUUUCCAAAUUUUGACAUUUUAUCUUUAUAUAUUCAUUCAGAGGAUGAUGGUUUAUAAUCCUUACAGAGGUGCCUGCUACAUCUGACGUCACCUGUAUUUAUCAUUGUGAGGGAAGCCAAGCCUGCGACGGUGUGAGGACAGCAGAGCAGGAACUGAAAACUGAGCCCAUCUCUGGAUGAAUGAAAACAGCAGUGCAUCACUUCCUGUACCUACAUGCAGGCUGUGCUUUAAGAACCCCGAAACUAGGAGUACCGGUAUAUGAACAGUGCAGCCCUGCUGUGUGUUUACUCUGCUGAUGCAUGAAGUAGAACUAGCUACACCUGGAAGAUUAUUACAGUUAACCAGUUUGCCACUUUAACAGCAGUUAACUGGAAUAACAGACUAAACUGGUUCUGUGUAAAUACUGGAAAUGUCUUUGGCUUCUCAUUUUAUUUGCUUCUGUUUUCUGAUCCUAAUAAAAUGUUAUUUUAUUCAUAUUUUCACUUCUUUACUCCUUUGACAACUGAUAAUAGAGUACACAUUACAUAAUGUAUGCUGACAUGUUUUCUGCUUCUUCCUCACCAAUUUUAAAAUUUCUCACAUUUUUUUUGGGAAUGUUUGAUAAAAUCUACUCG